GGAUGCAGAUUUGCUGCAGUAAGUUUUCACGCAGUUUUCACGCAGUUUUGAUUCUGGCCGUUGAUUGUUGAUCAGACGAUCCAGAUCAACGCAGUUAUAAAAUCACUUAAAUCAAUCUUGAUCACACAGUUUAGAUCGGACGGCUGUAAUUUAAAACAGCGUGAAAACUGUGGGAAACCAAACAGCAGGAAAUCUGUUUCC
rnacentral:lncRNA from 1 species